AGUGGAGCCUGCGGCUUAAUUUGACUCAACACGGGAAACCUCACCAGGCCCGGACACCGGAAGGAUUGACAGAUUGAGAGCUCUUUCUUGAUUCGGUGGGUGGUGGUGCAUGGCCGUUCUUAGUUGGUGGAGCGAUUUGUCUGGUUAAUUCCGAUAACGAACGAGACUCUAGCCUGCUAACUAGGCGUAUUUCGACAUCCCAAAGGCCCGCCGGUUCGAGGUUUCGGCCUCUUGCCGAGCGCGGUUUUUACUGUCGGCGUACAAACAAUUCUUCUUAGAGGGACAGGCGGCAUUUAGCCGCACGAGAUUGAGCAAUAACAGGUCUGUGAUGCCCUUAGAUGUUCUGGGCCG
rnacentral:rRNA from 1 species